CAGUAGCCGCGGUAAUACGUAGGGUGCAAGCGUUAAUCGGAAUUACUGGGCGUAAAGCGUGCGCAGGCGGUUGUGUAAGACAGGUGUGAAAUCCCCGGGCUUAACCUGGGAAUUGCAUUUGUGACUGCACGACUAGAGUGUGUCAGAGGGGGGUGGAAUUCCACGUGUAGCAGUGAAAUGCGUAGAUAUGUGGAGGAACACCAAUGGCGAAGGCAGCCCCCUGGGAUAACACUGACGCUCAUGCACGAAAGCGUGGGGAGCAAACAGGAUUAGAUACCCCAGUAGUCCCUGUCUCUUAUAC
rnacentral:rRNA from 1 species